UGGGGAAUAUUGCACAAUGGGGGAAACCCUGAUGCAGCGACGCCGCGUGAACGAAGAAGGUAUUCGUAUCGUAAAGUUCUGUCCUUUGGGAAGAUAAUGACAGUACCAUAGAAGAAAGCUCCGGCUAAAUACGUGCCAGCAGCCGCGGUAAUACGUAUGGAGCGAGCGUUGUCCGGAAUUAUUGGGCGUAAAGGGUACGCAGGCGGUUUAAUAAGUCGAAUGUUAAAGAUCGGGGCUCAACCCCGUAAAGCAUUGGAAACUGAUAAACUUGAGUAGUGGAGAGGAAAGUGGAAUUCCUAGUGUAGUGGUGAAAUACGUAGAUAUUAGGAGGAAUACCAGUAGCGAAGGCGACUUUCUGGACACAAACUGACGCUGAGGUACGAAAGCGUGGGGAGCAAACAGG
rnacentral:rRNA from 1 species